UACGUAGGUGGCAAGCGUUGUCCGGAUUUACUGGGCGUAAAGAGCGCGCAGGCGGUCGUUCAAGUCGCGUGUGAAAGCCCACGGCUCAACUGGGGAGGGUCACGCGAUACUGAUCGACUCGAAGGCAGGAGAGGGUAGUGGAAUUCCCGGUGUAGUGGUGAAAUGCGUAGAUAUCGGGAGGAACACCAGUGGCGAAGGCGACUACCUGGCCUGUUCUUGACGCUGAGGCGCGAAAGCUAGGGGAGCAAACGGG
rnacentral:rRNA from 1 species